AACGUAGGAGACAAACGUUAUCCGGAGUUACUGGGCGUAAAGGGCGUGUAGGUGGUUUCGUAAGUCUGGCGUGAAAUUUCUCGGCUUAACCGAGGCAGGUCGUCGGAUACUGCGGAACUUGAGGACGGUAGAGGCGUGUGGAAUUCCGGGUGUAGUGGUGAAAUGCGUAGAGAUCCGGAGGAACACCAGUGGCGAAGGCGGCACGCUGGGCCGUACCUGACACUGAUGCGCGACAGCAUGGGGAGCAAACAGG
rnacentral:rRNA from 1 species